CCCAGUUCCUAGAAAGCAGCUAAUUUGUAGAAGGCAAGGCCUAAUGGAAAACUCACAACAGUCAAAACGAAUGCUAGAUGGGAAGA